GAGUUUACAGUGAAAUAAAUAUUUAAGUGGAGCCUGCGACUGGGACUCCAGCUCUCCGACUGGGCUAACUCACUUGAGCGUUUGUUGGCACGUAAAAGAC
rnacentral:pre_miRNA from 15 species